CUUGCUACCUUGGCCAAAACCACUAUCUCCACCAGUGUCUUCAGCAGGAAGCCAUACUUGCCUUCCGCUGCCAACAGGAACAGAAGCCACGCCCACAGAAUCACCACCAAAUCCUCCAACAGAGCUUCUGCUUUUGGGUGGGUCUAGGCUCCCUCACCAGGGGCAAUUCCCCAAACUGUCAGAGGGCAUCUGGAGACAUUUUCUAGUUGUCGCAGCUCCGGGCCGGGAGAGCAACUGGCAUCUAAUGGGCAAAGGCCGGCGGCGGCUGCCACACAGGGCACCCUCCACAACAGAGAAGUCUCCUGCCCCGCAUGCUGAUACAGCUGAGGGAACCAGUGUGCUCCCAAUCCUGGGCUGGAAAGAGAAACGGAAGAGCUAUUAAGAAGUCUAAGGCAGGCUGUGCGGUGGUGCCGAUGACAUGGCCAAGACGUGGAAAACUGGUCCGGAAGGGGAGGCUUGGCAUGAUCAUGUUCCCGGAGAAACAAAAGGUUCUGAGCCUUUCAUCGGUCAAACCAUCAUAUGUGAUGUGGUCCCACUGUUCCCUCCUAUGUCUGAUCCCACGGGAAGACAUGAUUCUGGUCCUCGAGGACUUUACCAUUUAUCAAGACUGACAAAACACAGACUUGAAAUAAAUAGAAACUGAAUAACUUGGAUGAUAUUAGCCAAUAAGGGGAAGAUGAGUUUCUAGAAAGGGGAACCAGUGGUGGUUGGUGAUGGUGGAGAGGUCUAGGUAAAGAAGAUAGAGAGUAAGCAGGCUAUGAAGGAUGAAUAAGAGUUCAGUAAAAGAAGGAACAAAGGAAGAACAUUGGGAAGGGGUGUGUGUGUGUGUAUGUAUGUGUGUGUAUCUGGGGGGAAGGAGACUGAAGGGCAAGCAGAUGCUGAUAAGUAAAGUACGUGCUAUUCACUC
rnacentral:lncRNA from 1 species